UACGGAGGAUGCGAGCGUUAUCCGGAUUUAUUGGGUUUAAAGGGUGCGCAGGCGGCGUGUCAAGUCAGCGGUAAAAUGUCGGGGCUCAACCCCGGCCGGCCGUUGAAACUGGCAUGCUCGAGUUGGAGAGAAGUAUGCGGAAUUCGUGGUGUAGCGGUGAAAUGCAUAGAUAUCACGAAGAACCCCGAUUGCGAAGGCAGCAUACCGGCUCCACACUGACGCUGAGGCACGAAAGCGUGGGUAUCGAACAGG
rnacentral:rRNA from 1 species